rnacentral:lncRNA from 1 species
GGGGAGGUGCUAAAGGAGGAUCGAUAUCCCAGCACCAAUGUCAGGACUGCAAAGAGCCAGAUGGAGCGGAGUGUGUAGGUGGAGCAAUGUUGUUCUGAGGAGAUCGUGUCAAGAUAUGCAGUGAGUGCCGAUGUAGGAAUGUUGCAGUUUCUCCAAAGAAGUCCAAGACAAUAGUUAAUGCGACUGUCGAGCAGAAGGGUGCCUAAACAUACUCCAGGGUGGUGCA